GUUAGGGGACUGGGUUAGAGGGCUGGGUUAAGGUUAGAGGACUGGGUUAGAGGACUGGGUUAGGGUUAGGGGACUGGGUUAGAGGACUGGGUUAAGGUUAGAGGACUGGGUUAGAGGACUGGGUUAAGGUUAGGGGACUGGGUUAGAGGACUGGGUUAGGGUUAGGGGACUGGGUUAGAGGACUGGGUUAAGGUUAGGGGACUGGGUUAGAGGACUGGGUAAGGUUAGGGGACUGGGUUAGAGGACUGGGUUAGAGGACUGGGUUAAGGUUAGGGGACUGGGUUAGAGGACUGGGUUAGAGGACUGGGUUAAGGUUAGGGGACUGGGUUAGAGGACUGGGUUAAGGUUAGGGGACUGGGUUAGAGGACUGGGUUAAGGUUAGGGGACUGGGUUAGAGGACUGGGUUAGAGGACUGGGUUAAGGUUAGGGGACUGGGAUCGUUACAGUCACCUGUGUGAAUAUUUUUGUGAUAACAAGAGGAUAUUGUAAAAAGUUGAAGUAAUAUAACUAAUCAGAAUAUUAAGUUAUAUGUGUACAGUACCUUUCAAAUUAGAAUUUUGAAUGACUGAGCCUAAGGAUUUACUAUCAUUUUAAUUGAUCUGAAUGUAGCCUAACUAGCUAGCUGUGCAUUCUGACCUGUGGCUGCGUACACUGGGCCCUAUUCACGGAACAAAAUGGUUUAUUAAUGUAGAAUCAACUGGAGCUACCUACCAUCUUGCACUGGUUUUAACUUGUUUUAACUCAAAGAUCGGAAUCUCACAAUGGCCCACAUUUUCAUGAUUGCGCAAAAAAUGACAAACACAAUCUUCAUCUCAAAGUGUUACAGCCAUGGCAUAAGACAACCGAAAGAUCAUCUCAGAUCAGAUGACCAACAUGGAUUGUUCUAUUAUUUCCUCUUCUCUUCUGACUUAUUCCCUUCUACCAUAUUUACCUUCUGGAAAGUCUUGCCCAUACAGAGCACGGUCUAAAGUUGAUGUCUCUGCCUGAUCACGACUUAAUCCAUUUACAAUGACAGAACCAAAACUCUAUUAAAUUGUUGUAAGCUGUUGCUUAUUUGCAACAAUAAGAAACACACAUUGUGGUUUCCUGUGUCUUUCCAAAAAACGGCGCUGUCUGAGUAAAAUUUCAGGUUUACUUUGUGAACAAGUUUAUAAUUUGAAAAGGAUUUGAACGUUACAAUAAUUUAAAGAAAACGCUGAGUGAACACGGCCCUCAGUGUGUGAUGUUAGCUACUAUAACAGGGUGUUAAACAUUAUUUUAUACAAAGUUAUAAACAUAUAGAUUUUGUUCCAUUAUCAGUUUACAUUUGAAGAGGUGAGGGAUUAUGGUCAUCCUCGUGGAAUAUCUACUGUGCAACGUUGACUCCUUUCUGCCGUGGAUGAGGUUAUUUGAGGGGAUAACCCAAAAAAAAAUUGGUUUCUGUUCAUGUUCUUUGGUGCUUCUACAAUGCAGUGUUCAGAGUACCAGUUUCAUCAAUCACUUCAUUCUCACAGAUGUGUGACUUCUUCUGUACCAUUUAGAAAUGAAUACUGUAACCCCACUUCUGAUUCAUUAUUCAAUUUAAAGUAAUAAUUAAAGUACAUUCAAUUGAAUGUUUGUAAUCUCGAACAAAACAACUCAUAUUUCCAUAAGUAUAUAGACUUUAUUAGCUUUGGUUUACAGCUUUAAUCAUUUCUAUCAACUGACUUUGUCCUUACUGUAAUUUGCACACACAGGAGAAAUAUUUCACAAUAAGGUCUUAUUUUUUUCCACAACAGAGGUUUUUACUUUGGCAGAUUAACAUGGAAUUAAGGUUGAUGUGUAGUUUGUUGAACAUGAGCAUCACUAACGAUUGAAUUAGAUAUUGAGUUGACAUAGAGGAUUUUCAUAUCUGUGAUUUUAAAUGGCAAGAUCUUUGUUCAUUUGUCCAAUAUAUCCUCCACAGCGACCUCUGGUUGGCUGUUGACGAGCUGCCGGUGAAUGCCUGCAUACUCUCUUUAAGCUGAAGCAAUAAUUGCAAUGUCGGGAUGUGGCCGCUGCUGCUUACACACCGAUAGUUGACUCUCAUACAGAUGGGGAAUAAUGAAGGAAACCAAGAGGGUUGAAUUGUGGACAAGAACGCUCUCCACUGGCUCCCGACAGGGUUUUAACUUGCUUAAGCUUUCACUUCCAAUGAUUGUUUGUUUUCUAUUUUUUCUCUCUCUCUCUCUCUCUCUCUCUCUCUCUCUCUCUCUCUCUCUCUCUCUCUCUCUCUCUCUCUCUCUCUCUCUCUCUCUCUCUCUCUCUCUCUCUCUCUCUCUCUCUCUCUCUCUCUCUCUCUCUCUCUCUCUCUCUCUCAUGGGUGCCAUUAUUCAUAUAUUAAUGACCAUGCCAAUGAGCUGGUUGGGUUCUGGCGUGUGGCCUAUACAUUUAGUUUUAUUCUACGCUACUGGUUCUAAUAAAGUAGGCUAUAGCUGUAUGAGGAUAGAUAUUUUCCAUGCCUUGAUUUAAACUAAAACCAGCUCUUUCUGACUCUGGAUCAGUGGCCUUGGUUUGAGGAUGAUGAGGAAGGGUUGGACAGCAGGGUCUGAUGGUGUGUUUGGGUUUAACUGAAGAUAGUUUUAUUUAUUUUUUAUUUUGUUUCAAUUGUGCAUUUCUUCAUUACUUUAUAGUCAUUUAACAUGGUCUUAUAAGAAAGAAAGACGCAAUGAUAAAGAAAAGAUAAUAAAGUUCUUAGUGUUCACAUUG